UACGAAGGGGGCUAGCGUUGUUCGGAUUUACUGGGCGUAAAGCGCACGUAGGCGGAUCGUUAAGUCGGGGGUGAAAUCCUGGAGCUCAACUCCAGAACUGCCUUCGAUACUGGCGAUCUUGAGUCCGGAAGAGGUGAGUGGAACUCCUAGUGUAGAGGUGGAAUUCGUAGAUAUUAGGAAGAACACCGGUGGCGAAGGCGGGUCUCUGGGCCGUAACUGACGCUGAGGAGCGAAAGCAUGGGGAGCGAACAGG
rnacentral:rRNA from 1 species